UGCUCAAGGUCACAGCCAAGUAACACAGUCAGAUGAACCCAUCUCUAACCUCUUGGGUACAGACCUCUCUUCCCUGGAUUGUCCAAUAUAUCAGCUGACCUUGCACGUCUAGAAUCACGCUCCAGAACAGCUAAGGAUGCGGACAGGGUCACCGCAUGGGGCCCAGGAAGUAGCCCUGGACCUCUGCGGCCUGGCCACUUCCCAGCAGCCAGCAGGCCCUCAGCCGGUGUCCUGACCACCUGCACCGAGGAGGACUCAAGGCAUGGACAAAAGGCGUUGGUAGUGAGAAGCUGGGUCACAGGAUGCCCUAAGCCCCUAGGAAGCAUUUUCCCUGCACGAGCUGAGGGCAUGAACCCUACCAAAGGAUGAGAAGAGCAAACAGCACAAGUGGAGAGACACCGCUGAUCACUGAGACAUGCCAAGAAGGGGUCCUUACCUUUUUUUCUUUAAAUGCUCAUGAGAAUCCCUGUGCCUUUUCACGCUACAUUUGUCUGAGUAUUUGACAACAUCUGCCUCCCCCCACACUGCCAGCCUUUGUACCCCCCACGGAAGCGGGUCCACGCCUGUUUCCCCCCCCCCCAUCACCGUGUGGGCACCGCAGUGCCCGGCAUCUAUUUGCU